rnacentral:rRNA from 1 species
CCCUAGAGGAGCCUGUUCCAUAAUCGAUAAACCCCGAUCCACCUCACCCUCUCUUGCUUAGCCUAUAUACCGCCAUCUUCAGCAAACCCUGAUAAAGGUUACAAAGUGAGCACAAACGCCCUACCGCCGCAAAAACGUUAGGUCAAGGUGUAGCCAAUGAAAGGGCAAAAAUGGGCUACAUUUUCUACAUCAGAAAACUCCACGAAAACUCUUAUGAAACCUGAGAGUCCAAGGAGGAUUUAGCAGUAAAUUAAGAAUAGAGUGCUUAAUUGAACCAGGCCAUAAAGCGCGUACACACCGCCCGUCACUCCCCUCAAAUAUAUUUAAGGAACAUCUUAACUAAACGCCCUAAUAUUUAUAUAGAGGGGAUAAGUCGUAACAUGGUAAGUGUACUGGAAGGUGCACUUGGAC